AGGAAGAAUGGCGAUGGAGCUCGCCUGGGAAACUUUUCAUACUGAGUUGCAUUCCAAGAGUUUUUGAUGGCCGCCGCAGGCUUUAGCCGGCGCCGGAUGUCCGAUUGCGAGUCGGUAUCAUGGCCCGAACCGCGCUGACGCUGAUGGCUCCUGAUCUCAC
rnacentral:ncRNA from 1 species